CACCGCGGUUAUACGAGAGGCCCGAGCUGAUAGUCUUCGGCGUAAAGGGUGGUUAAGAAUAAUACAAACUAAAGCUGAACCCUUUAACAAGCUGUUAUAAGCACUUAAAGGCUGGAAACUCCACCACGAAAGUGGCUUUAUUAUAUCUGAAUCCACGAAAGCCAGGGGA
rnacentral:rRNA from 1 species